CGCAAAUACCCCCAUUCCCUCUCUAAAAAACCCACCGAACGCUUUUUUGCUUCCGAGAACUCUCACCGGAGAACCACCUUCCACCGCCACCGAUUAUCUGUGACUGUAUUUGACCGUAAUAGCUUCAAACUGCUGCGACAUUCCACCUUCGUUUUCUCAUUCUUCUUUUCACAGCUCUUGGAGCCUAAGAAGUUUGUGCUGACUUGCUGUGAGGUAUACUUGAAGUGAAGAUCAAGAGAAAUCUAAAGGUGGUGGGAGUUUGCGUGUGGAAACAGUUAGAGAAGCUAUGGUUUCCCAUGACGUGAUAGCGUAUAGCUUACUUGUUUAUUUAGUGGUUGCAUUGGUGUUUGAUGUUGGUCGGAAGAGUUUGCUUGUGAACCUGCUCGUAAUGUUCUUGGUGUCUUUUGUGUUUAACCAUAAAAGUCGCGUUGUACUGAAAAUGAAUUACUCUUAUGACUCGAGGAAGGACAAGGACAAAGAAGGAGAUGGUGAUGAUGAUGACCAUGUCAACCUACGUCGCGGAGCAGCUGGUACACCCGAGCGGGCUGACUAACUUCUGGUCAUCGCUAUUGUUGUUUUGCUUCUUUUGACUGUACAGGGGUUUCUUUUUGGGAUGGGGAUUAUAUUUUGAUUCCCCUAUAUGUUUAUAUCACCUGUGUCCCCCACUAAACUCUUUUCAACACUGAUGUUAAAAUCUUUUGAUCAAUGCAUAUAAAUUUUCACUGACUUUU